rnacentral:lncRNA from 1 species
CGCGGGCGGGGCUGUUCUGGGUACCGCCCCCGGCCCCCCUCAGGGCUCUGGGUGCGGAGUCCGGCGGGCGCCCGGUCGGAGGCGCGCGUGCUCGGCCGCUCCGUGCGUUUUCAUGGAGGUCAGAGCGGCCGUGGCCGGGGCUGGGUUCCUGCCCCCGCCCCGUCUGUCCGCGUCGGAUCUGCCGGAGCCCAGGUGAGAGGAAGGACAGGAGGUGCGAAGCGGCAUCCGCGCCCCAGCGGGGUGACCAGGGCGGGGCACCCGAGUGGGUGACCAGGGCUCUCCCCGCUCCCGCCCUGGCUUGCUUGGUGGGCGCACCGGGUUCCUGCGAAGAGGGGGCGGGACGUGGGCGAGUCCCUGGCGCGCUGGUGCCCUUUCCUCACCGCUUCCUGCCGCCUUCAUAUACGCACCGGCCAGCGCACACACGCAUACCUCCGACACACGCACACACUCCCGGACAUGUGCUCACGGCCGCCCUCCCAGCCCUGCCUCCCCCCGGCACGGGCGCAGACCCGGGGCGCGGACCUGAAUCCGGGAGACGGAGCCAGGCUGGGGAAGCCUCGCAUUCUGCAAACUCGGAGCCCGGGCGCGCCUUGCGCCUCCCCGCCGGAGCCGGCCGCGGGGCUCCCACGCUCGUCCGCCGAGCAUGGACCGGUGCUGGGGCUGGGGGCGCAGGGAACCUCGGCGCGCAUGGCGGGGGGCGUCCGGCAGGGCGAGCUGGGCUCUCUCUGCGCCCCUAGCCCUCCCCUGAGCUCGCGAGUCUCCGGGGACCCCGGGGCGUCCGUGCGUGCGCGCGUGCUUGCGCUCCCGCGGUUUCGGGGGGACAGCGGAGCGCACUCGCAGCCCGCCUCCUUCCAGGGGAUUCGGUUUCUAGUUUCUGGUUUCUGGCUCUUCGAGCAGAGCCGCAGACGUGGGCUGUGACUGCCUUUGUCACUCUUUGUCACCUCGUUUGAAACCCCAGCCCAGAGCUCGGUUUGGGCUCCACUGGAUUCUACUUGGUCUUUAGAAUUCUGGAAAGUCCUUCUUUUCCCUGCCUAGAGCCUCCCUUUCUCCUCCCUCUUCCUGGGGCUGCAAAGACCGCGGUUUCCUGAAGCGGCUCUCAAGGCCGGCGUUUGGAGCAAGCGGCAGUUGUAAAAUGGAUUUUGACUGUUGGUAAAUCCCGGAAUGCGUCCGCUGGGAGGUGCCUCCGCGGAGGUGCAGGAGGAAGGCUGGUUCGCUGCCCGGCCCUGCUCGGGGGCAGCCCUCGAAAGGGAGAGAUCAGCUCGGUGAACCCCCCAAGGUCAUCCCGUCUUCAAGGGGAUGAAAGCGCAGGGACCAAGUCUGAGAAGUUUUCGUUUCUGCCGAGAAAUCCAGGACGGAUCCCGCAGACCCGACAGGGGUUGAGGAGCACUGGCAGAGGCCCUGUGAGACAGCUCCACUUGAAAAGGGACACCCAGGAUGGGACCCACACAGGAAAACAGACCAAGGUGUCCACAGGUGUGCCAGGUCUGUCCAAAGGCAGUUGGCAGAGACCAGUUACACCGAGUGGCCAGGAGGAGAAAGGAAAGCAGGAGCGACCCACAGCAGACGGUCAAGAACAUGAAUGUGAACACAGGAGCCCGAGGAGCAGCCACACUUGCCCAGACGUGGCAGAACCAGGGAGGCCGAGGGCAGAGCCAGAUGACUGUUGGUGACUCGUUGCAUCACAUCCAAGGGCCAUAUUGUCAGGAUGGCUGUGCCAAGUCUGCUGCUGGAUUAAGGGCUUGCUUUCCAAAUUUUGGGAGGCCUUCCUCUUCUGGGAAGAUGGUGUAGACAUACUCUUCUCUGUUCCUCCCACUGAGGACAACUAAAACUCCUGGGAAUUAUGAAGGAAGAAGUGAAACUCUCGCUGUUUGCAGACGACAUGAUCUUAUAUAUAGAAAACCCCAAAGAAUCCAUUGGAAAACUGUUAGAAGUAAUCAACAACUACAGCAAAGUUGCAGGGUAUAAAAUCAAUCUGCAUAAAUCAGUAGCAUUUCUAUACUCCAGUAAUGAACCAACAGAAAAAGAACUCAAGAAUACAAUACCAUUCACAAUCGCAAC